CAGCCGCCGCGGGAAUACGGAGGGUGCAAGCGUUAAUCGUAAUUACUGGGCGUAAAGCGCACGCAGGCGGUCUGACAAGUCAGAUGUGAAAUCCCCGGGCUUAACCUGGGAACUGCAUUUGAAACUGUCAGGCUGGAGUCUUGUAGAGGGGGGUAGAAUUCCAGGUGUAGCGGUGAAAUGCGUAGAGAUCUGGAGGAAUACCGGUGGCGAAGGCGGCCCCCUGGACAAAGACUGACGCUCAGGUGCGAAAGCGUGGGGAGCAAACAGGAUUAGAUACCCCUGUAGUCCCUGUCUCUUAUAC
rnacentral:rRNA from 1 species